UCUGCACAUUAUUAAACCCCGUUGUUAAACCAGUCUCUGGCCCGUGAGCUUCGGGUGUCGGAAAUGUGCGAUAGUAAAGCUGGCAAGUUUUCGCUAACACCACAAGAGGCCCUGAGCCUCGAGGAGUGGGGUUUGAUAGUAUUCUAUGCCACAGUG
ensembl:snoRNA SNORA62 Small nucleolar RNA SNORA62/SNORA6 family